CAAAUAUGAAUCCACCAUCAAUAGAGAAGAAGCCAAUAUACAAUAAAAUAGAAAUACCGCUACAACAGUGGCAAUCGCCAGAGCUGUGGUGGUAAGGCAACUGGGAAACAAAUGGAUGACAACAAAACUAUGGGUCACCAGAGUCUUUAAUUUUCCGGUCAAUCUUUCAGAUUAAACAAAAAGGUGAAAAGAAGAGAUAUGAUGCACGAAUGAACUGCUAGAAAAAAUAAAUGCAACUUAUGUGCUUGAGGAGGUAGAGUACCAAGACCGUUAGAGUUAAUUGAGGUCUAUUUAAAUAGAAAGAUUCUCUUGUUAGACUUUAGUCCACUUAGGUUUAUGUUUUAUGUUUAUAUCAUAAUCGUAUUGAGUUUGUAAUUUGUGUACGAUUGAGAUUUUUGGUCCUCGAUAGUACUGAUAGCAUAGAAGGGUACGAGCAUUAUCUCUUAGUAGCGGUCCUGGGGAAUAUUCCUAUAUAUAUAUAUAUAUAUAUAUAUAUAUAUAUCUUGUAAUUCCUGCAUUUUGCAGAUUCUCAUCUAUGAAAAUAUCACUAACUUGAACCCUAGAAUAGUUUUUCAAACUUUUCUUUCACCUCUAUUUACUGUUCCAUUGAUCUUGUAUCAUUUAGUAUUAGAGCACUUUCUUGAGCUCUAUGGGUGAUAAAAAUGGCAGAUAUGGACGAGAUCAAGUCACUGUUUGAGAGAAUGACUAUUGAAAUCACAAACUUCUCAAUUAGGCAAACACAACUCAAAAAUCAUCAUGAAAGAGCUUUUACUAAGCUAAAGAAGUCCUUGCAUGUUGUGAAAAGGUAUGAUCGAGGAAAAAGAAUAGAAGAAGUAGAUGGUGGGGCAGAUCUAUAUACCUACAAGUAACCCUACUGCUUGGGUACAUGAUCCAGGUGCUUCUUAUCAUCCUCGAUAUUAGUGAGUAGUGAGAUUUUGGAGACUUCAAGGUAUAUCUGCUCUCGUUCGUAGACCUCAGAGUCCCCCUUUAUUCCCUCUUAUGUCGUUUGCUUUUCCGUACUUUCUUAGACUCUGGUGUAUAGAGAUACUUAGUUUUUCUUCUAUAGCUUGUGACUUAUGAUUACCGGGGUUUGGGAAUACUAUGUGUACUCGAGUACUGGGUUACUUGUACAUGCUAAGCAGCAUUUUAUUAUUUUAUAGUUAUCUGUUGCAGUCUAGUUGUUAAAUUCUGUUUCUCAUUUCUGUUAUAUCGCAAUUUGUUAGGCUUACCUAGUCGUAGAGACAAGGUGCCGUCACGACGUCUUACGGAGGGAGAUUUGGGUCGUGACAGGAGUUCCCUCUCUUCAGUGACCUCGAUCUUAAAGCUUGGAUCUGCAAGGUAGAACAAUUUUUCUCUUUAGAUGAGGUUGACUAUAACCAGAGAGUUAAGAUAGCUUCAAUACACUUUGAUGAUACAGCCAUUAAGUGUCAUCUUGCAUACUUGAGAAGUAGAUCUCACAUGCCUUACCCUAGCUAGGAGGAGUAUAUUUAUGCACUCAUAUAUAGGUUUGAGGCCGAGUAUGAUGACCCCAUAUCAGAGCUUAAGCUAGUAAGACAAACUGGAAUGGUGGAGGACUAACAGAAGAAGUUUGAUAGAAUUAUGACAAGGUUGUACAUCCUUCCUGGGUGUGCUAUUAAUGCCUUCAUCACUGGCCUCACGCCAUAGAUUGGUUUUAUAGUAAAAACCCACCAACUCUAUUCACUACCUCAAAUUUACCAGUUGGCUAGAAACACUGAGGCUUAGGUGAAUGCUCAGUUGAAGAUGACUUGGCCUAAAUUGUAUACUGGAGUCAUCUUAUACUAAGGGAAACAUAUAUAGAUAUGCAACAAAGAGGGCAUUCCACAAGAAUGAUGGGAACUUAUUAAAAAGGAAUGUUGCUGCUAAUUGAAACAAGGGGAACACUAGGAAAAUCACCACAACUGAGAUGAAUGAAAAGAGGCAAAAGGGGUUAUACUUCUUCAGUGAUGAGAAGUUUUUUCCUGGUCACAAAUGCGGUAGAGCUAAACAAUUGUACUUGUUGGAGGUAGAAGAAAAAGGGCAAAAUGAAGAAAAAAUAGGAGAAUUAGCGGUGAUAGAGAAACCUGUAGAAGUGACCGAGGAAAUAGGAAAUGAAGUAAAAGGUCAAGUAUGUGAAAUCUCAGUCAAUGCUCUAUAAGUACCAACCUUCCAUAACUUGAGAGUGACUGGCUACUGCGAGAAAAGGCCACUGAGCAUUUUGGUCGACCAUGGUAGCACACACAACUUUAUUAAUGAGGAAGUAGCUAGGGAGUUGGGGGUCACAAGAAUGAGGAUUAAUCCUUAAACCAUGAAUGUGACUGAUGGCAACAAUAGGCAAACUGAUGAGGUCUGUAAAUAGUCUUGGUUAUUGCAAGGGGUUACCUAUACAACAGAUUUUUUACUGCUCUUUCUAGGUUCUUAUGACAUAAUCUUAGGUGUGCAGUGGUUGCUUCCAUUAUGGGAUCUUAAUUAGAACUUCAGGGAGCUAACCUUGGGAUUUAGUUAUCAAGGACGAGAAUGUGUUUUGAAAGGAGAAGUGGAGAAAAUCAAAACUAUGGAAGCCAAGAAACUAGAUAAGUUGGCUAACAAUGUGGGACAAUUGUUUAUGCUUAGGGUGCUAAUACCCAGGGAAGAGGAGCAGACAGAGAUUGAUCUUACCAUGCCUUUACAUAUUCAAUCACUCACUGAGGAAUACCACAAACUAUUUACCGACCCUCAAGGAUUACCUCAAUCUAGGGGGCUAUUUGAUCACAAGACUCCUUGGCAGUAGAGUACGAUGUUGUUAACCUCAGACCUUACAGUAUUCUUCACGACAAAAUGAUAUAAUUGAGAGGUUGAUACAAGAUAUGUUGGAUCAAGGGAUUAUGCAGCCAAGCUCCAACCCCUAUGCUUCUCUAGUAGUCUUGGUAAGGAAAAAGGAUAGAAGUUGGAGGCUAUGUGUUGACUAUAGGGGCCUAAAUAAGGUUACAAUCAAAGAUAAGUUCCCUAUCCCAAUUAUUGAGGAAUUACUUGAUGAGUUAGGUGGAUCACAAUUUUACUCAAAGAUAGAACUCAUGCCUGGUUACCACCAGAUUAAGAUGGUAACAGAAGAUGUAGCUAAGAUAGCUUUCAGAACCCACUCAGGAUAUUAUGAGUAUUUGGUAAUGCCUUUUGGGAUCACCAAUGCUCCUUCUUAUUUCUAGAGUUUGAUAAACAAUGUGUUCAAAGAGCGCCUUAGUUUAUUUUGGUGUUAUUUUAUGAUAUUUUGAUGUUUAGCAAAAAUCUGUUUGAACACUUGGUACAUCUUAGGAUGAACUUUGAGUUGCUAGUAAAACACAAGUUGUUUGCCAGGAAGUCUAAUUGUUCUUUGGGGCUAGCAAAAUUGAGUACUUGGGGCAUAUAAUAUCUGGUGAAGGGGUAGCCACUAAUCCUAAGAAGAUUGCAACAGUGCACUCUUGGCCAAUACCAAGGAAUGUCACGGAGUUAAGAGGCUUUCUAGGAUUGACAAGUAACUAUAGAAGGUUCAUCAGACAAUAUGGGGUAACUAGUAGACCAUUGACAGAGUUACUCAAAAAGGAUAGGUUCCAGUGGACAAGCAAGGCAGAUGAGGCAUUUGGCAAGUUGAAAGAUGCCCUUACUUCAGCACUUGUUGGCACUACCAAACAAUCUAUUUAUGUUUGUGGUAGAAACUGAUACAUGUGACUAUAGCAGUGGGGUUGUUUUGAUGCAAGACGGCCAUCAUAUAACUUAUCUCAGGAAAGGUCUAUCAGGAAGGCAUCAUGCCUUUUCAGUUUAUAAGAAGGAGUUGUUAGCUCUUGUUAUGGUUGUUACUAUGUGGGCACAAUACUUAUUGGGGAGACAUUUUGUAGUGAGAACUGAUCAAAAAGUAUUGAAGUUCUUAUUGGAUCAAAAUCUCCUCACUGGAUCUCAAAUGAAGUGGAUAGCCAAACAUAUGCAUUUGAUUUUGUGAUAGAUACAAAAAGGGAAGAGAGAAAAAGACAGCUGACUCCCUAUCCAAAGUUCUUUAAGGAGAGUUAGCCAUGGUUUUAUUGACCCUAGCUAACUAUGAUAUCUUCCAGAAAAUUAAGGAUAUUUGGGUAAAAUAUACAUGGGCUACAAAGAUCAUAGCUCACAUCCAAGAAUAAGGAGAGAGACAAAAGGGAUACAUUUUUGUAAACCAACAACUAAGAAGAAAUGGCAAGCUGGUUGUGGGGAAUGACACUUUCUUGAAGCAAGAAAUCAUUCAAACAUGGUAUGAAACACCUGCAGGAGGUCACUCCAUAAUAGAGAACACUUACAAAGUGUAUCUAGUCUCUUCUACUGGAAGGGGCUCAAGAAAGACAUAACAGUCUAUGUGAGAAAAUGUGCUACCUGUCAAAGAAGCAAGUAUGAUAGAAGUGCUUACCCAGGGUUGCUACAACCUUUGCAAAUUCCUAACACUGCUUGGUCCAGCAUUUGUAUGGUUUUCAUAUAUGGACUUCCAAAAAUCUAAAGGCAAGACAACCAUAUUGGCAGUGGCGGAUAGACUUACAAAGUGUGGCCACUUCUUGGCCAUAAGUCACUCCUACUCUGCCACCUAUGUGCGAGAAAACAUUAUUAGUGAUAGGGAUCCAGUGUUUGUCCACAAUAUACAGCAGGAUCUUUUUGUUAUGCAAAGCGUAACACUCAGUACUGCUACAGCUUAUCAUCCCCAAACAAAUGGCAAACAGAGGUACUCAAUAGAACUAUGGAGACUUAAGAUAUUUUUGUUCGGAUAACCAGCAUAAUUGGGCUGCUUACUUAUCACUGGCAGAAUGGUGGUACAAUACAUCGAAGACUCACUAUAAGGGAGCUGAAGAUCCAAUUGCUCAAAUUUCACAUUCACAGGGCACAACUAAGAAUGGUAGCUAUGAACAAACAUAUAACCGACAGACAAUUCAAUGAAGGGGAUUGGUUUUAUCUAAAAUUUCAACCUUAUAUGCAAAUUACCCUCUCUAAAUUCUUUCUCUAAGCUCUCAGCCAAGUAUUAUGGCCCUUACCAGAUUAUAUGAAAAAUUGGUCCAAUUGCUUACAAACUAUCACUUCCCUCCCAUGUUGUUAUCCACCCCACCUUCCAUGUCUCCAGUUUAAACCAUGAUAUGACAUCCCUGCUCAAUUCAAUCACCCUUCAGUUGUUGUUAUCACCAGCCCCUACUAUGUGGAACCCCAAGAAAUUCUGGACAGAAGGAUGAUAAAACGAGGGAACAAGGCAGUCCCUCAAAUUUUGGUACUAUGGUCAAAAAUACUGAAGGAGCAAGCUACCCGGGAAGAUUAUUCAACUAUGAAGCUGAAGUUUCCUUUUUUCCUUCCUUGAGGACAAGAAGGUUCUGCAAGGGAAGGGCUGAUGCCAGAAUGAAUUGCUAGGAAAAAGAAAUGCAACUACUUUGCUUGAGGAGAUAGUACCUAAGGAUUGCGGAAUAUUACCAGACCGUUAGAAUUCAUUGGGGUCUAUUUAAAUUGAAAAUUUCUUUUGUUACAUUUUAGUCCACUGAGGUUUAUGUUUUAUAUUUAUAUCAUAGUCACAUUAAGUUUGUAAUUUCUGUACGAUGGGCAUUUUUGGUCCUCGAUAGUACUGACAACAGAGGAGGGUACGAGCCUUAUCUCUUAGUAAUGAACCUGGGGAAUAUUCCUCUAUAUAUUUUGUAAUUCCUUGCAUUUUGCAGAUUAUUAUCUAUGAAAAUAUCACUAACUUAACCCCUAGAAUAGUUUUAGCCUAGAUUUUCAAACUUUUCUUCCGCUUUUAUUUACUGUUCCAUUGAUCUUGCAUCAAGAUAGAAAAAUAAAGAACGAUGGAGAAGCUCCGUUUCCGACCAGAUUCUGUAUAUCUGGCCACGAUUCGACCAUUCUUCGACAUGUUUCCUCCAGAUUUGAUUGUCUGGCAAUGGCAAAGGAGCGACUUUCGCCAGCCGGCCGACAUGGAGUUGUCCGACGGCCAGUGAUUUUGAGGGGUUAUUUCGGUGGAUUUUAAUGGAGGAAAACACUUACAACGGGGAAGAUGACUAAAAGUGAGGUUGGGGUAGAGGUGAGAUGCGUUGGAGAGGGGAUACUUUGACUCUUUUUUUUAAGAAAAAAUAUUAAUUAGGAUGGUAAAAAUGUAUUUUAAUUUUCUUGAGUUAUAAUAUGUGCCAUCACUUUAUUGGUGUGUGA